CGCCAGCAACGCUGGCGGUAUGCUUAACACAUGCAAGUCGAACGGUCUCUUCGGAGAUAGUGGCGGACGGGUUAGUAACGCGUGAGAAUCUAGCUUCAGGUCGGGGACAACCCCUGGAAACGGUGGCUAAUACCGGAUGUGCCGAAAGGUGAAAGAUUUAUUGCCUGAAGAUGAGCUCGCGUCUGAUUAGCUAGUUGGUGUGGUAAGAGCGCACCAAGGCGACGAUCAGUAGCUGGUCUGAGAGGAUGAUCAGCCACACUGGGACUGAGACACGGCCCAGACUCCUACGGGGAGGCAGCAGUGGGGAAUUUUCCGCAAUGGGCGAAAGCCUGACGGAGCAAUACCGGCGUGAGGGAGGAAGGCUCUUGGGUUGUAAACCCUCUUUUCUCAGGGAAUAAAUAAAAUGAAGGUACCUGAGGAAUAAGCAUCGGCUAAUCUCCGUGCCAGCAGCCGCGGUAAUACGGAGGAUGCAAAGCGUUAUCCGGAAUGAUUGGGCGUAAAGCGUCCGCAAGGUGAGCACUGUAAGUCUGCUGUUAAAGAGCAAGGCUCAACCUUGUAAAGGCAGUGGAAACUACUGAGCUAGAGUACCGUUCGGGGCAGAGGGAAUUCCUGGUGUAGCGGUGAAAUGCGUAGAGAUCAGGAAGAACACCGGUGGCGAAAGCGCUCUGCUAGGCCGUAACUGACACUGAGGAGACGAACAGCUAGGGGGAGCGAAUGGGAUUAGAUACCCCAGUAGCCUAGCCCGCAAAACGAUGGGAUACUAGGCGUGGU
rnacentral:rRNA from 1 species